AUUCCAACCGACAUUCACCACUCCAGCGGUAGGCCUUAGGUACUCGUGCUGGGACAGGUGCUACUUACGUGACGUAGAAUGAUGUUUAUGGAAAUAACUAUGUACGCAAUGGGCUUGUUUGUCACUGCUUGGGGAGUUUACUUUUCGCGCAGAAGACUUAAAAUCGUUCUCGAAUAUUUCUUGGGUCAGCCAAGGGACCAAAAGCCUCAAGAAGACACACAACCAAAUGAAGAAGACAAAACAGAAUGAGUUUUUCUUUUACUACUACGUUAUGCAAGGUACACAGGAACAUAUCUGCAAUUACUGGUGGAUUAGUACAGAAAAAUCAGUUCCGUGGAAAAGAGAUUCCCCUUGACAUCAUUUCUUUUCAAUAUGUGUUGUAAUCCAG